UAGUCUCAUUUUUUGGUAAGAAAUAGACACAUCAUACUAUUGUAUUUAUUUAUGCGAUGAAUGAGUAUAUCCUCGAAUGAGUAAUUGUUAUUCUUUUUUAAAUGAUUGAAAUGGUCAUUGAAUAUCAUUAAAAUAAAUAUGCUUGCUUGGCAUAUAUUUGCUUGAAAUAUAAUAUUGAAUAAAUGUAUUUAAUUAUCACAUAAAGGGGAGAAAUGGUGAAAAAUAAUGCUUGCAAACCUAACAGAAUUGAAGAAAUUGGUUGAACGAAGAGAAGAAGAAACUUUUAAUCUUUUGAGUAAAGAAAUGUGCAACUUUUGAUAUUUUUACUUUGCUAUUUGAGACAUUUGCUUAAAAUAUUUAAGAUGUAAUCUUAAAACCUGCACCCUCUAUAGACUGAAUGCUUAGGAUAAAUCAUACUUUGCAUGUUUACAUAUUAUUUUGUUACAUGUCUUUUUGUAAAGGACAUGCUUUUGUGUUUGUGUCAACAUUUUUCUUCUAAAUGAUAUUAUCUUUUUCUCAAAUGAUUGAGUAUUAUCUUCUCUCUAUAAUUGUUGAGUACUUAUAUGAUUGAAUGGCUAAAUGGUUAAUUAACAUUUGAAUGUUUGAUUGAAUAUUUAUGUGAUGAAUUAAAUAUAUGAUUACCCCUUUUUUUUAUAUUGACAUAAAGUAGGAGAAACAAAAGAAAAAUGUUUCAUGUUAUAUGUUUUUAUCUUUAUGCUUGAAACUUUAUAAAUUUCAGCUACUACCAAUGAAUUUUGAAUUUUCUCUAUGCUUGAUGUAAUUCAUUUUUGAUGUAUACGACUUGGCAUUUAUUGCAUUCUUACUGAUUUAAGGGGGAGAGAUAAUUCCUUUUGAGUAUCAUUGAAACCUUUUGCAUAUGUGCAUUAAUUGUAAAACAAAGGGAGAGAAAAUCAGAAGGAAAAUUUUAUUGCAUCAAUUGAAAAGAUUAAGGGGAAGAGAUUAGAGAUAGGAGG
rnacentral:lncRNA from 1 species